GAUGAACGCUAGCGGCAGGCCUAACACAUGCAAGUCGAGGGAGAGGUUACCUUCGGGUAACCAAAACCGGCGCACGGGUGCGUAACGCGUAUACAAUCUGCCUUUCACAUAGGGAUAGCCCGAAGAAAUUUGGAUUAAUACCUAAUGGUAUAUAAGAGCGGCAUCGUUUUUAUAUUAAAGCUACGGUGGUGAAAGAUGAGUAUGCGUUCUAUUAGCUAGUUGGAGAGGUAACGGCUCCCCAAGGCGACGAUAGUUAGGGGUUCUGAGAGGGAUGUCCCCCACACUGGUACUGAGAUACGGACCAGACUCCUACGGGCGGCAGCAGUGAGGAAUAUUGGACAAUGGUCGGAAGACUGAUCCAGCCAUGCCGCGUGCAGGAUGAAGGUCCUAUGGAUUGUAAACUGCUUUUGUAAGGGAAGAAUAAGGAGUACGUGUACUUUGAUGACGGUACCUUACGAAUAAGCAUCGGCUAACUCCGUG
rnacentral:rRNA from 1 species